rnacentral:rRNA from 1 species
UACGUAGGGUGCGAGCGUUGUCCGGAAUUACUGGGCGUAAAGAGCUCGUAGGUGGUUUGUCGCGUUGUCCGUGAAAACUCACAACUCAAUUGUGGGCGUGCGGGCGAUACGGGCAGACUGGAGUACUGCAGGGGAGACUGGAAUUCCUGGUGUAGCGGUGGAAUGCGCAGAUAUCAGGAGGAACACCGGUGGCGAAGGCGGGUCUCUGGGCCGAUACUGACGCUGAGGAGCGAAAGCUUGGGGAGCGAACAGG